rnacentral:rRNA from 1 species
AUGAGGUAGAUAGGUUCGAGGUGGAAGCGUGGUGACACGUGUAGCUGACGAAUACUAAUCGAUCGAGGACUUAACUAA